AGCAGCCGCGGUAAUUCCAGCUCCAAUAGCGUAUAUUAAAGUUGUUGCAGUUAAAAAGCUCGUAGUUGAAUUUCGGGAUUGGCGCAUCGGUCGUGCCUCACGGGGUAUGAACUGGUGCAGUCAAUUUCUCACCUUCUGGAGAACCGCGAUGUCCUUAAUUGGAUGCCGCGGGAAACCAGGACCUUUACUUUGAAAAAAUUAGAGUGUUUAAAGCAGGCAUUUUUGCUUGAAUACAUUAGCAUGGAAUAAUAAAAUAGGACGGCAUGGUUCUAUUUUGUUGGUUUCUAGGACCACCGUAAUGAUUAAUAGGGAUAGUUGGGGGCAUUAGUAUUCAAUUGUCAGAGGUGAAAUUCUUGGAUUUAUUGAAGACUAACUACUGCGAAAGCAUUUGCCAAGGAUGUUUUCAUUAAUCAAGAACGAAAGUUAGGGGAUCGAAGACGAUCAGAUACC
rnacentral:rRNA from 1 species